rnacentral:lncRNA from 1 species
CAGGGCAGAGGCCUUGCAGGCGCUGGGACAGACUGUGGCCUUUGGGAAAUGGGCCCCUGCCUGCACACAGGGCUGACUCACCACACAUCAGCCACAGUUUGCUAUGUGACCAGAGGGUAAAGAGAGACCCCACCCAGUGGGGGCCUUAAGGCACCAACUGGAGGACAGGAAGAACCCAGCUGGAGGCCCUCUUGCCUCAGCCAACAGGCGCCAGUGGUCAGCACAAGGAAGACGGAAAACAGGCCAUCCCCAGGGUGGGGACACGGAGGAGGAGGCUCAGCCUCCAGCCCCAGGCACAGGGCCCCUCGAGACCCCAGGAAGCACUGGCCUAGUCUCAGGGUCCCUUUUUUUCCCAAUUCCAGCAGUGUUAGAACUGCCAGGUACGAGGAGCCACGCAGUCCUCUGGGCAGCAGAAACCCGAGGCUCCGUGAGAGAAGUGACCCAGGAGAGCCAGCUUUCCACACGCGUACUGGAGCCACUGGCUCCUUUUGGCCACAGAUUACAGGAUCCAGAGGUUCCAUGAGUGGCCAUCCCUGAUCACCCUCAGUUCCCAACUGACCCAGACCACGGCCUCCCAAUCCCUGCAUCGCCCCUUGAAGCUCCUGG